CAGAUAGUAGUUUAAUUCAAAACGCCGGCUUUGGGUGCCAAAAAUCGCUAACGCGCUAUCUGA
rnacentral:tRNA from 1 species